rnacentral:rRNA from 1 species
GACGAACGCUGGCGGCGUGCCUAAUACAUGCAAGUAGAACGCACAGUUUAUACCGUAGCUUGCUACACCAUAGACUGUGAGUUGCGAACGGGUGAGUAACGCGUAGGUAACCUGCCUGGUAGCGGGGGAUAACUAUUGGAAACGAUAGCUAAUACCGCAUAAUAUUAAUUAUUGCAUGAUAAUUGAUUGAAAGAUGCAACUGCAUCACUACCAGAUGGACCUGCGUUGUAUUAGCUAGUAGGUGAGGUAACGGCUCACCUAGGCGACGAUACAUAGCCGACCUGAGAGGGUGAUCGGCCACACUGGGACUGAGACACGGCCCAGACCCCUACGGGAGGCAGCAGUAGGGAAUCUUCGGCAAUGGACGAAAGUCUGACCGAGCAACGCCGCGUGAGUGAAGAAGGUUUUCGGAUCGUAAAGCUCUGUUGUAAGAGAAGAACGGGUGUGAGAGUGGAAAGUUCACACUGUGACGGUAUCUUACCAGAAAGGGACGGCUAACUACGUG